UUUCAAACUUUCCAUGGAAUC
rnacentral:siRNA from 1 species